rnacentral:rRNA from 1 species
AAUAGAUACCCGGGUAGUCCACGCCCUAAACGAUGUCUACUAGUUGUCGGGGGGUAACUCCUUCGGUAACGCAGCUAACGCGUGAAGUAGACCGCCUGGGGAGUACGGUCGCAAGAUUAAAACUCAAAGGAAUUGACGGGGACCCGCACAAGCGGUGGAUGAUGUGGAUUAAUUCGAUGCAACGCGAAAAACCUUACCUACCCUUGACAUGCCACUAACGAAGCAGAGAUGCAUUAGGUGCCCGAAAGGGAAAGUGGACACAGGUGCUGCAUGGCUGUCGUCAGCUCGUGUCGUGAGAUGUUGGGUUAAGUCCCGCAACGAGCGCAACCCUUGCCAAUAGUUGCUACGAAAGGGCACUCUAUUGGGACUGCCGGUGACAAACCGGAGGAAGGUGGGGAUGACGUCAAGUCCUCAUGGCCCUUAUGGGUAGGGCUUCACACGUCAUACAAUGGCUGGUACAGAGGGUUGCCAACCCGGCGAGGGGGGAGCCAAUCCCACAAAACCAGUCGUAGUCCGGAUUGCAGUCUGCAACUCGACUGCA